AAAACUAUACUUUCAGGGAUCAUUUCUGUCGUUUGUUACUAGAGAAGUUUCUCUGAAUGUGUGGACUACCCAAAACCACAAGGAGGAGGCACAGCAGUCUCUCCUGAAUAUGAAGCCAGCUGUUGGUGUUGCUCCUGCAACUGCCAUUAGUCACUGAUGAUUGUUCUCUUCCUUUGGGAGAGUAAGAGGGAAAGAACGUUGUCUGAGCUGA
ensembl:snoRNA U3 Small nucleolar RNA U3